rnacentral:tRNA from 1 species
GGGGAUGUAGCUUGUUGGUACAGCGCUUGCCUAGCAUGUAUGAAGCCCUGGGUUCCAUCCCCAUAAUCCCCC